CACGUAGGGCGCAAGCGUUGUCCGGAUUCAUUGGGCGUAAAGAGCUCGUAGGCGGUUCGAUAAGUCGGGUGUGAAACCUCCAGGCUCAACCUGGAGACGCCACCCGAUACUGUCGUGACUAGAGUCCAGUAGGGGAGCGUGGAAUUCCUGGUGUAGCGGUGAAAUGCGCAGAUAUCAGGAGGAACACCAGCGGCGAAGGCGGCGCUCUGGGCUGGAACUGACGCUGAGGAGCGAAAGCGUGGGGAGCGAACAGG
rnacentral:rRNA from 1 species